rnacentral:piRNA from 1 species
GGGAAGUAUGCUUACAUAUUCUGUGU